GGCCCCGCACAAGCAGCGGAGCGUGUUGCUUAAUUCGAUGCAACGCGAAGAACCUUACCUGGGUUUGACAUGUAGGGAAAAGCUCUAGAGAUAGGGUGUCCUUCGGGCCUUACACAGGUGGUGCAUGGUUGUCGUCAGCUCGUGUCGUGAGAUGUUGGGUUAAGUCCCGCAACGAGCGCAACCCUCGUCCUAUGUUGCCAGCACGUAAUGGUGGGAACUCAUGGGAUACUGCCGGGGUCAACUCGGAGGAAGGUGGGGAUGACGUCAAAUCAUCAUGCCCCUUAUGUCUUGGGCUUCACGCAUGCUACAAUGGCCGGUACAGAGGGCUGCAAUACCGCAAGGUGGAGCG
rnacentral:rRNA from 1 species